UCCUCUGCAGCCUCACUCCCACUUACCACAAAUCAUGUACCUACGUGGGCUAGGAGGGGCUGCAGUGAGGGGACAAGCAGUUUUGGAUUUGUGGCUUUGUCCUUUGCAUAACUGAGUGUGAGCCCCAGCCUGGACCUGGCCAAGCAGGAAGGGGUUGCAGUUGUCUGUACAUGCAACAACUGAAAGUGGAGGAAAAAAUUCCCCUGUUGCUUUUGGACUGCCUAGGUCCAAGGCAAGCCCACAACAUGGUAAAUAUUAGAAGCAGAUUGCUCAUACACUGGAAGAGAUUCUUGGCAGCUGUUUGUUCUGGCUGACUCCAUUUAAAAAU